CCUUGUGGAGGAGGACGCCGAAGGUGGGGCUAAUGACUGGGGUGAAGUCGUAACAAGGUAGCCGUACCGGAAGGUGCGGCUGGAUCACCUCCUAACAGGGAGACAACAAAAUGUUUAAUAUUAUUAUUUUGUCACCUUAGGUCGAUCGGUAUCUCACGUUUUUAAUUUAUUAAGAAUUUCAUUUCCUAAGUUUUUCUAGGUCACACCCAUAUUUUUCCUGGGCCAUUAGCUCAGGUGGUUAGAGCGCACCCCUGAUAAGGGUGAGGUCCCUGGUUCAAGUCCAGGAUGGCCCAUAUCUCUAUGUUGGGGGUAUAGCUCAGUUGGUAGAGCGCCUGCUUUGCAAGCAGGAUGUCAGCGGUUCGAGUCCGCUUACCUCCACUGAUUACCACCUCUUCCAUAAACGGUAGAAAGGAAAUUUUUUGAGUUGUGACCAAAUUCUGAAAGAAUCUAGCUUCCUAAUGCAAUCAUUAAGAUGCUGGACUCAUUGAAUUAAUUUCAUUGUUUUCAGAGAACCUUGACAACUGCAUAGAUUAUUUUUAAAGACAAUAAGCAUCUUUAAUGAUGCAGAUUUAUUAUUUGUGCGAAUGCAUUAAUAACAAUUCUAUUAAGCUGAUGCUUCAAUUUUGAAGUUAUUGGUCAAGCUACAAAGGGCUCACGGAGGAUACCUAGGCACACAGAGGCGA
rnacentral:misc_RNA from 1 species